AAUAGGCCUACUCGAAGCUUUUCUAGUUGCAACUUACCAGCUAGAAAAGUCAAAAAUAGGCCAAUAGGAAAUGGUGACAAACCAGUGACUAAAGAACUUGUGUCGGGAGACAAAUGAACAGAUACAAGGAAUUGAAAAAAUCGUUUUAGUUGCACAUAA